AAAGGGACGUUGAAACCACUAGGGGGGAAGCGGAUAGAGUUAACAGCAUGAUGACGGCAUUCAGCCGAUGGCCGCAACGAGCGGUAUGCACAGUGUUCCGAAGCAAUCCGGCGCUUGCAUACUUGUAACGUACGUGCGAUCGGUGCUUUUGCCGUCAUUGGCGCGCUGAGGCACUCAGGGUGAUGUGUUGCAGGAUAUCGGCAGAGGACUGUGCUGCUCGUCAGUGCAGAACCCUACGAUAUCGUAAAGGCAUAUUCGCUGUGAGCGCAUGCAAUUAUGGCUCUACCCGCAAUAGCGCAUAAACGCAGCUGUGAUCGCAUUGGCUGUUGCCAGUGGCUUUGUCACUGUGUUUCUAGUCCGAGUGUGACCGUGGUCGCGUUUCAUGCGUUGGUAGAGUAGAUCUCGGUGUAAACAGUUAAUCACCUAUCCGACCCGUCUUGAAACACGGACCAAGGAGUGUAGCAUAUGCGCAAGUUAUUGGGUAGCAAACCUAAAAGCGAAAUGAAAGUAAUGAUAAACAAAUUAUGAGAGCUGUGUAGAGCAACACUACACGGUGCAUCAUAGUCCCGUCCUGAUUGCUUGCAAUAGGGCGGAGAUAGAGCGUAUACGCUGUGACCCGAAAGAUGGUGAACUAUGCCUGAACAGGAUGAAGCCAGAGGAAACUCUGGUGGAAGUCCGAAGCGGUUCUGACGUGCAAAUCGAUCGUCUGAUUUAGGUAUAGGGGCGAAAGACUAAUCGAACUAUCUAGUAGCUGGUUCCCUUCC
rnacentral:rRNA from 1 species